rnacentral:rRNA from 1 species
CCUACGGUAGGCAGCAGUGGGGAAUAUUGGGCAAUGGGCGCAAGCCUGACCCAGCAACGCCGCGUGAAGGAAGAAGGCUUUCGGGUUGUUAACUUCUUUUCUCAGGGACGAAGAAAGUGACGGUACCUGAGGAAUAAGCCACGGCUAACUACGUGCCAGCAGGCGCGGUAAUCCGGGGGAUGCAAGCGUUCUCCGGAUUUAUUGGGUUUAAAGGGUGCGUAGGCUGGGAGGUAAGUCCGCGGUGAAAUGCCAGCGGUCAACGGGGUGAAGUGCCAUUGAUCAUGCCUUGCUGGAAUGCAGAUGCGGUGGGAGGAAUGUGUGGUGUAGCGGUGAAAUGCAUAGAUAUCACACAGAACACCGAUUGCGAAGGCAUCUCACGAAGCCGCGAUUGACGCUGAUGCACGAAAGCGUGGGUAUCAAACAGGAUUAGAUACCCGGGUAGUC